GGUCUCCUUCCCACCUCAUCGGGCACGCUUACAGAUACCACACGACCAGCGCAGCCUUCCCCCCCUUCCCUAGCUGAGCUCCCCAUCUGAACUGAAGCCGCUCCUCCUCCCCCGCCACCGGCCAUCAGCAGAGCGGAGAACUCCAUGGCGACGAUGAACUCCAGCGUGCUGGCUUGCAGCUACGCCCUCUCGGGGGCCUCCGACGCGAGCUGGAAGCUCGCCGCUGCCCCGUCGGCGGCGCCAGCCAGCGCCUCCUCCGGCCCCAAGCUGCCGGCGAUCCGCGCCCAGCAAGCCCGCCCCGCAGAGUCGAAGGAGCGCGAGGGGAGGAGAGCCGCCCUCCUGGGCCUCGCCGCCGCCGUCUUCACCGCCACCGCCGCCAACUCCUCCAACGCCAGC
rnacentral:lncRNA from 1 species